rnacentral:rRNA from 1 species
AGAGUUUGAUCCUGGCUCAGGAUGAACGCUAGCGGCAGGCCUAACACAUGCAAGUCGAGGGGUAGAGUUAGCUUGCUAACUUGAGACCGGCGCACGGGUGCGUAACGCGUAUGCAAUCUACCUUGUACAGGGGGAUAGCCCAGAGAAAUUUGGAUUAAUACCCCAUAGUAUAUUUGAAUCGCAUGGUUUAAAUAUUAAAGUUCCAACGGUACAAGAUGAGCAUGCGUCCCAUUAGCUAGAUGGUAAGGUAACGGCUUACCAUGGCAAUGAUGGGUAGGGGUCCUGAGAGGGAGAUCCCCCACACUGGUACUGAGACACGGACCAGACUCCUACGGGAGGCAGCAGUGAGGAAUAUUGGUCAAUGGACGCAAGUCUGAACCAGCCAUGCCGCGUGCAGGAAGACGGUCCUAUGGAUUGUAAACUGCUUUUAUACAGGAAGAAACAACUCUACGUGUAGAGUCUUGACGGUACUGUAGGAAUAAGGAUCGGCUAACUCCGUGCCAGCAGCCGCGGUAAUACGGAGGAUCCAAGCGUUAUCCGGAAUCAUUGGGUUUAAAGGGUCCGUAGGCGGCCUUAUAAGUCAGUGGUGAAAUCUCCUAGCUCAACUAGGAAACUGCCAUUGAUACUGUAGGGCUUGAAUUCUUAUGAAGUAACUAGAAUAUGUAGUGUAGCGGUGAAAUGCUUGGAUAUUACAUGGAAUACCAAUUGCGAAGGCAGGUUACUAAUAAGACAUUGACGCUGAUGGACGAAAGCGUGGGGGAGCGAACAGGAUUAGAUACCCUGGUAGUCCACGCCGUAAACGAUGGAUACUAGCUGUUCGGACGCAAGUUUGAGUGGCUAAGCGAAAGUGAUAAGUAUCCCACCUGGGGAGUACGCACGCAAGUGUGAAACUCAAAGGAAUUGACGG